UGAGGGAAUAUUGGUCAAUGGCCGGAAGGCUGAACCAGCCAAGCCGCGUGAAGGACGAAGGUGCCAAGCAUUGUAAACUUCUUUUGUCAAGGGACAAAAUCAGGCUCGAGAGCCUGACCGAGGGUACUUGAAGAAAAAGCAUCGGCUAACUCCGUGCC
rnacentral:rRNA from 1 species